rnacentral:rRNA from 1 species
GGUGAACGCUGGCGGCGUGCCUAAUACAUGCAAGUCGAGCGAACAGACGAGGAGCUUGCUCCUUCGACGUUAGCGGCGGACGGGUGAGUAACACGUAGGUAACCUACCUAUAAGACUGGGAUAACUUCGGGAAACCGGAGCUAAUACCGGAUAAUAUUUCGAACCGCAUGGUUCGAUAGUGAAAGAUGGCUUUGCUAUCACUUAUAGAUGGACCUGCGCCGUAUCAGCUAGUUGGUAAGGUAACGGCUUACCAAGGCAACGAUACGUAGCCGACCUGAGAGGGUGAUCGGCCACACUGGAACUGAGACACGGUCCAGACUCCUACGGGAGGCAGCAGUAGGGAAUCUUCCGCAAUGGGCGAAAGCCUGACGGAGCAACGCCGCGUGAGUGAUGAAGGUCUUCGGAUCGUAAAACUCUGUUAUUAGGGAAGAACAAACGUGUAAGUAACUGUGCACGUCUUGACGGUACCUAAUCAGAAAGCCACGGCUAACUACGUG